AGGACGAACGCUGGCGGCGUGCUUAACACAUGCAAGUCGAACGGUGAUCCAUGGUGCUUGCAUUGUGGUGAUCAGUGGCGAACGGGUGAGUAACACGUGAGGAACCUGCCCCCAGACUCUGGAAUAACCCCGGGAAACCGGAGCUAAUACCGGAUAUGACACCAGACCGCAUGGUCAUGGUGUGGAAAGUUUUUCGGUCUGGGAUGGCCUCGCGGCCUAUCAGCUUGUUGGUGAGGUAGUGGCUCGACCAAGGCGACGACGGUAGCCGGCCUGAGGAGGGCGACCGGCCACACGUGGGACUGACGACACGGCCCAGACUCCGUAACGGGAGGCAGCGAGUGGGGAAUAGUUGCACGAAGUGGGACGAAAGCCUAGGAUGACGAGCGGACCGGCCGUCGGACGGAGGGA
rnacentral:rRNA from 1 species